rnacentral:rRNA from 1 species
GUCUCCGUAGGUGAACCUGCGGAGGGAUCCAUAGCAAACAUAAAUGCUAAUCCCCCUCUCCUUUAACUCCCUGUUGGGAGGGGUGGGGCACGGCACGGGGCCACCAACCCCAGGCCCUCUGCCCCUACCUUAGACCCAGGCCCGUGCAGUCCCUAGGGCUGAUGCGGUGCCCCCAUCCGUGGUAACCCCUCCUCAAGGCCUCUCCCCGGAGUUGGCUGGAGGGGUUACGGCCAGGGCCUGCGCUGCAGAGCACGUCCGCGUCCGCUCUGUGGCACUCUGCCCUCUAGGCCGGUCGAAUCCGACUGACCUAGGGCAGGGAGGUCCUGGUGACGGCCCUCCGUCUCUCCGGAACGGGGGAGCACCGUCGAACCCAACCAACCUUGCAGUAAGCUAGCAGCAAGCGGCUUCCCAUGCGGAGGUCAGCCUAAUCCCCUAGUAACACUACACAAUGGAUUUCUCGGCUCCCAUAACGAUGAAGAACGCAGCAAAGCGCGAUAGGUAGUGUGAAUUGCAGAAUUCCGCGAAUCAUCGAAUCUUUGAACGCAUAUUGCGCCUGAACCUCCUGGUUUGGGCAUGUCUGCCUCAGCGUCGGUUUAACCACUUGCUCCCUGUCACCAGCAAUGGCGGCAGGCGACGCAGUCCUGGCCCUUGGGUGCUGGUAAAGGCCCACCGGCUUACGAUGGACGGGUUAGCCCCUUCCUGCGCUUGUGCCUGCGUUGCGCAGCGCCACAGGUGCCCGGCUUCAACGGUCUGGUGGCUCUGUGCCUCAACGCCUUGAACCCGUACCCCACCUGCUGCGCCUCGAGGGCAAGAACGAGCGGCGGGGCUUGAGCAGCAGCAGCUGUGCAAGCUAGCUACCCCAGGUGCCUCCCCUGGCCGCUUAGCGGUAGGGUGAGCAGCGCCGGACCCCCAAACCUUCGACCUGAGUUCAGGCAGGGCCACCCGCUGAAC